GUGCUCACUUUGGCAGCACAUACACUAAAAUUAGAACGAUACAGAGAAGAUUAGCAUGGCCCCUGUGCAAGGAUGACAUGCAAAUUCAGGAAAUUUAAGGAAAUGAU
ensembl:snRNA U6 U6 spliceosomal RNA